UGUGCCAAUUUCAACAAAACCUUUUCAGUUUCAAGAAGGCUUUUCUGGUUAAAAGUGAAUAAAGCUUAGAAGACCCACCUGGCCAGUAGAUGUAUGUAAAGUAAGACAGCACAAAGCCCCAUAAGCAAGACAAUUCUGCCAGAUAGCUUCUUGUGUAACAUUUCCCGUCAGGAGCAACACUCAUCCUCGUACUGAAGAAUUCUAAGGAUUGGUCCACAGACUGCAUUACAUUUGGCAUGGUUUCCACCACUGUAACAUCAGCAUUUCAAAACUCAGUGAUCCAGAGUAGCCAAAGAAAAGUCAUGAAGAGUAACACUUCUGGAUGUCUCAAUGACAGGAGAAUGGCCUGUUUAUGUCAGCGGGGAAGAGUAACAGCAUGGACUGAUGAAGCAAAUAACUGCUUCUUGAAGCUGGACUGCAUAUCAGUGACAAUCCUUAUUUUACUCUAACUUUUAGGAAGAGACCCAUUAUUAAAACAUCACAUCAGUUUAAAGCAAGAUUUAGAUACACGCCCCCAAAAGAGCAUCUUCCUAACUGGGCAAAAUGCUAUAUUAAUAUUGUUUUAAUUAGUCAGUAACUGUCAGCAGUUACUGUCUCUAAGCUGAUCAAUAUUUGGCAACAAACAUCAGCCACACAAAGUUGGUGCCUCUGAAACUGCAGUGAUCCCUCUCAAUUUUGAAUUGCUUUCCACCCCCACCUAAAUCUUAUUCUUUAAGUACAGAACAUUGGACCUUGUAGGCUAUCUGGAGGCGGAAUUUAACAGGCAAAUGACCUGAAGACACUGCGUGGAAUGAAAAGAAGAAAAGUGAAAGCUUGUGUUACCUCUUGAGGUUCCCUAAGGUAUCUACAGUGUUACCAGAAGGUUCAGGAAGUUGCAUCUGUCAAGUGUGAAAUUCUUAAGCUCCAGAAAUGCCCAUUAAGAGAAUUAGGAAACACCUGCAGAUUUUCAUCCACCAGAACGCUCUCGUCUCUUCAUCAUAUGCAAUAUAUGUAACCUAUGCACACUUUUUUUUUUUUUCCUGAAGUGUUUUAUUGCCUAUUUGUUCAAAUGCAAAUUUUAUAUUUUUCUCACUUUGGAGGUGUGAAAACAAUACUUGUUCUAUAUUAACAACGCGUUUAUUCGUUUCCAUUGGAAUGAUUUUUGGUCUUUGAAAGUGAAUGUUCUCUUGAAUGGAUCUAAGAUGACGUUACAUUCACUCUCUCCUAUGGUUUUAUAAAUACGGAGAUUAGAUGACAAUGGAAGAUUAAAAAUGGCGUAAAACUGAUUAAAUAGCUUGUUUCUCUGAUGCUUUAAUUUGUAACUUCAUCGAUCAUCAGGGCACAAAUAAAUUUGUAAAAGCUGUGGGUGAGUAUUCAGGGCUGGGGCCUGAGUGUUGUAUUCAGAGGCAUGUAUUGAAAGUUAAACAAACUCAUCAGAGUCACCUUAAGUACAUGAACAUUUCUGGUGCAUUUUGUAGUUUUACAGCUUUGCUCCAAAAACAACACCAUGAGACUCUCAAGCAGCCAAGGGACGCAGAAACACUGUCAAAAUCACUAGAGCGCAGUUAGAGAGCACUUUUAAUGUAACAUGAGUAAUUGUAUAUAACAAUUGCCAAUAUCCACAAGCACUAACAAUGUCUGUAGUGCAGAAGGUGAAGGCGGCUGUGGCAGACUUUAAAUGAUAAUUAUCUUUUCCAAUAGUACUUCAUUGGAAACUAGUAAGCUUGACGUUUCCCUGCAGCUGCUUCUCCUUCACAUAUUGCAUCUGGCCUAGACCACUGAAAAUGAUUUAAUGGUGAGAAAUGUUGAAAAAUUACAGCAUUUUGAAUACUCAUUGUUCUAGCUGGCGUUCUGUUAAUUUGGUCCUGGUUUACAAAUGUCUUUAGGGAUUUCUAUUAACAGAUAGGUUCCCAGGUACUUUGGCAAUGCAAUAAGCUGCUUCAUUUUGUUUCGUAUAGGAAACAAACUCAGGACAUGCUUUGAGCUGGUGGAGUUCAGCUAUCUGAGAGGCAAUGGUAGAUUUUCCAAAUGUGUUUAUAUUAAAAAAAGAAACAAAAACACCUGGAUUAGUAUAGCCUCAGUAUCUAGAUGUACCACAAAGUCCUUCUGUCACUUCCUCAAAAGAGGUUUUCAAGAUCCCAAGAUGUAAACUAAAGAGAAAAAUGAAGAGAAUACUCUUACCCGGUUAAUUAGCCUGCAUCAUCUAUAACUCAAGAAAUAUAUGGUGAUGAGGUUUUUGGUGCAAUAGAAUCUAGGGGUCUUAGUAUAUUUGUAAAAGCCUUCCUGAAAAUUGCAAAUGGCUUGCUUUUUCUUCAAAUGUUGUGCUUAAUUCCCAUAGGAGUAUAUCAUCAUGAGAAUGUUGAAGCCUUUUGCAUAACUAUACUUAAACCCAUUCACUGAUACUGUCAGGUGAUCAGAAAGAUAACUACUUCCCAACAGAUAACUUCCCAACAGAGUGGUGCUGCUUGGCCACAACUGUGGAAGAGCUGGUGUAUAGGAGACAAAUUUUCAUUACCAUAGUGAGCCCUGACUUAUAACAACAGUCAUUUUGGUCAGUGAUCUCUCAACUGGAGGAGAGCUGGAGAAGAGUUAGCUAGCUAGUGUCUGAGUGAUGGUAGUCCAUGUGGAAAAUUCAGAUUUUUCUCUCAAUUACAAAGCUAAAAAGUCAAGCAUUCCACUGCAAUAUUUCCUGACUAAAAAUCUGGUAACUGAUGGAUUUCUACACCAGUUCUUUACUUUUUUUUUUUACAAUGAUGUUUCUUAGCCAUACAGCAUUCAUUAAGAACAAACAAACAAACAAACAAGCAAAAAAUUCAGCCAGCAUUACUUGAGACUGAAGGAGUAAACUUUAUUAUGAACAAGAGUAAAAACAAACAAAAAACCUAUCUGUAUAUGUGCUGAUGCUUAAAAAAUGCUCAUGUAAAUUGAGGACCUUGGGGGGGAAAAAAAAAGCUAGAUAUUGCUUAUCAUCCAUUUCUUUUCUCCAGGGAUAAUAGAUAGAAUAGCAAAGAAUGGUACAAAUGAGAAUAGAAUUUUAUGCUGUUUGACAUAAAAUACACAAUAGAAAACUAAUAUAGUUACGUCAAUAAAUCUUUUAAAUGCAGAGAAUUCCCUCAUUCCAGCGUUGCAUUAUGAAUUCAGUAGCAUUACACUUUAUUUGACAGUUGGUAGCAAAACUUGAACUCAGAUUAUUAAUAACCUUUCCACAGUCUAUCAUUAAUGUCAGUGGGUGCGGUUUAGGAGUUUUAUUUUGGCAAGUGUAAUAUGUUAACAUAUUAACUGACUGCUCGUAUAGUCAGAGCAGAAAUGCUAGCCAGGGUAGGCAUUUCACGCCAAUUCUGGAGGCACUAAAAAUAAACUGUUACUUACCAACUCAGACGACUUAGUAAAUGUCUGAAUUCUACAGCCUUUGAAGUGCUACAUCAACACUUACUCCAGAGUUUAAGACAUUUCUUUCAGUAAGCAUUUACAUAGAAGAGGACAGUUUGGCUACAGGACAUUUGGAGCAGACAAAUCAUGUCAUUGAUAUCUUGUCAAGUUUAACAUCCUGUGAAGGCAACUGGCGACAGUAUGCUCUGCUAGAAGAGACGGGCGGCUGUAAGUGCAGCCUGUGGAGCUGCUGAAUAUUGACCUCGACCGUUGAGUACAGAUACAGUUAUGCAUAUCUUGACUCAUGUUAAGCAAUGGAAUCUUUUUUUAGCUAUACUCUUGUACAUAAUACAUUUACUGCGGAUUACAAUUGGUACCACAUAAGAUGCUAUUGUGUCAGCAUGAAGUGAUACACAAAUUUAGCUCUUCAACAAAAACUGUGUGCUAUAUGAGCACUUGAAAUUUUGUUUUGAAUUAAGAAAUGAGCCUAAGUACUGACUGAUAAAUUAGAAUUUCUCUGUUCCGGGAGGACUUACACUGAUGUACCCUUUUUGGGGUACCAAUCCCACAGAGUUGCUCAGAGCUGUCCAAGGCUCUCCUAAACCUUCAAGUGCUGCUUCAUAGGAGACAGAAUCAAGAAAGGGAUCCUAUGGUCUCUCUCAUAAUACAUGGACCCACAGAUCACUACUGUCUCCUAUCAGAGUUCAAGAGAACAUUAAGAAAAAAUUGGCCUAGAAGUUGCUUGGAAGGAUUAAUGUACUCCCUUCCUUUACUUCCAAACUAAAGACUCCCACCUAGGCCAUCCCUGACAUGUUUACUUUCACUGUUUUAAAUAACUUCUAAUCAGGGAGCUCUUAUGAUCACUGUGUUUCACUGCUAAAGGCUGGAGCACUAUUCUAAAACUGGUUGGAUUUUUUUUCCUAAUAGCUAGCAGAAAUGCCUCCUGUUACACAUUAAGACAAUUACUUCUCUUCCUAACCUCACUAGAUACAAAGAAUAUUGAUCGUUUCCUUCUUGAUAUGUAUUAGAAGAAAAAUCACUUUUCUGCCUAAGCAAUCAUAUUUUUUUCAACUUUGUUAUCAUUUUUAAAUCCCUUAUCAUUCCUUGCUACUUUGUACAUAUUGUAUUCAUUUUCAUUUCAGAAAAGGAUGGUGUGAUUGCCAAAUUAAAUUGGUCUGUGUUCCCACUUUAAUUUGUUGAGCCCAAUUUUUUCUACUUUCUGUCUUGUAGUCUGUUCACCUACACUGUCUUUUCUGUUGGUUGCUUCUUAAAAUCUUGUUUAGACUGCUUUCAAAGCUUUACAAAUAUCAAGCUAAGUUAGGUCUAUUAUUUUCCACCAACAGAAAGAAAAUUUUUUCUCUCACAGGAGAAAAUUUUAAAGUCUUGACAUGGUACAUCCUCAAAAUCUGUGUUGGUAGUUUCUUGUCAUGUUAUCCUUUCUAUAAUUAAAAGAUAGAUUGUUUAAGAAUAAUGACAGCAGCAGUGAUUGUACUAUAUUUUAAUAAUUAUAGACAUUAGCUUCUCAUGUGUGCAACAUCCUAAAACUGUUUUUAUUCCCUUUCCAGAAUGGUACUUUAUUUGACUAUCCACAGUCCCUCCUUGUGCAUUCUCUUUGCACCUCUAAUCAUUAAAAAGUUUCUUGUAAUUUUAGUAUUUUAAGUAUGGAACCUCUAUUUAAGCUAAAGUUGUCUUUCUUCAAACUAUUGUUUUCCUUUUCUUCCUGAUAUCUCUUCUCUUGUUUAAACUAAUUCUUUUAAGAAUCUUUUCAUAUAUUUAAAAUUGCCUGAGUAAAAUGGCAUUGAAUAGUUCAACAUGCAUCAUAUAGCUAAUUUUCUGUUUAGUAAUGUGCAGUCCUAUAAAAAAAACACUUUACAUAUGCAAUACUAUGUGAAAACAGAGCCAGAAGAAGUUGUUCAUCACACUCCUCUUCCGUUUAACGUUAGUCCUGAAUUCAGAGAAGAGUGACUGUGCAGAAAACACAGGGCCCAUUCAGCCUGACCUUGAGCACGUCCAGGGAUGGGACAUCCACAGUCUCCUGUGGGUCUGGGACAUACCCAGUCUCCUGGGUAGCCUGAGCCAAUGCCUCACCACCCACUCAGUGAAAAAUUUCCCCCUGACAUCUAUUCUAAAUCUCCCCUCUUUUAGUUUAAAGCCAUUUCCUCUUGUUCUAUCACUAUCAACUUGUAUAAUAAGCUGAUCUCCCUUUUGUUUUUUUUAAGUUCCCUUUAAAAGUAUUGGAGGGCCUGAAGCUUUCUCUUCUCCAGGCUGAACAAGCCCAGUACCAAAGAUAUAGAUGAAUAUAUAUUUUUCGCUGUACAUGGAACAUGGCAUUCAGUUUAGAAGACCUUUUUUUUCCUAAAUCAAAAAGAUAGCAAAGACAGUUAGGGUUGAUUUUAAAGUGUUUUAAAUAGUUAACAUGUAUGUUGUAUCCUGCAGUGUUAAUGUUAGUCUGGUAACAUAUAAUGAAGUGACAUUGCAAUAAAUAACACAGUGCAACAAAUUGUAUGUAUUGUGACAAAGUUGUUUUCCUAAUACCACUCAAUUUAAUCACAGGUAAUUUUGUCAAUAUUUACAACACAACACCACAUUCUUUUCCUCAUCCCCACAUCUGGCAUCACCAGGUUCUUUAGAUCAGAACUUCAGUCUUAAAUGCAAAACUCCAAGUUCUCAAACACUACAGAGAAAUAAAGUAUUUUCAUACAUUACAUGCCCAUUUUCAAAUACAUCAAACCAUGCUUCUUUCUUUCUUUCUGAUCAGAGAAUUAGAAAAUAUUUUGUGUUGUGAAUAACAAAACAACAGGCUUGGUUGUAGUUGCAAAUGCUGAUUCUGUUCCUAAUCCAAAAUUUCUGUACAUGUGGAGUGUACGUGUAUUAUUCUCAGUGGGACAAGUUACACAAGGAACUUAAAGACAGUGAUCUAAUUGAAAUUUAAGAACCAAGUUCCAAACAAAGGAGAAUAUUUUCCUCUUGUUUUACUGCCAUUAGACCUUCCCCUGAGAACAGGAAAAUUACAUAAGCAUUUUAAAGUUUUUCUUGGAGAUAUCUGGCUAUCACACG